rnacentral:rRNA from 1 species
UACGUAGGGACCAAGCGUUGUUCGGAUUUACUGGGCGUAAAGAGCGUGUAGGCGGCCAGGUAGGUCUGCUGUGAAAACUCGAGGCUCAACCUCGAGACGUCGGCGGAAACCAUCUGGCUAGAGUCCGGAAGAGGAGAGUGGAAUUCCUGGUGUAGCGGUGAAAUGCGCAGACUAUCAGGAAGAACCACCCGUGGCGGAAGGCGGCGUCCGUCUGGGCCGAUACUGACGCUGAG